rnacentral:rRNA from 1 species
CAAGGAAUUUUCGGCAAUGGGCGCAAGCCUGACCGAGCAACGCCGCGUGCAGGAUGACGGCCUUCGGGUUGUAAACUGCUUUUGCUAGGGAUGAUACGGACAGUACCUGGCGAAUAAGCCCCGGCUAACUCUGUGCCAGCAGCCGCGGUAAUACAGAGGGGGCAAGCGUUGUCCGGAUUGACUGGGCGUAAAGCGCACGUAGGUGGCAUGGUAAGACUCGUGUGAAAGCGCCUCGCUUAACGAGGCGUCGCCAUGGGUGACUGCCAGGCUUGAGGCUUGCAGAGGUGGGUGGAAUUGCCGGUGUAGUGGUGAAAUGCGUAGAGAUCGGCAGGAACACCAAGGGGGAACCCAGCCCACUGGGCAAGGCCUGACACUGAGGUGCGACAGCGUGGGGAGCGAA